GUGGGGAAUAUUAGGCAAUGGGCGAAAGCCUGACCUAGCAACGCCGCGUGAAGGAAGAAGGCCUUCGGGUUGUAAACUUCUUUUAUGAGGGACGAAGGACGUGACGGUACCUCAUGAAUAAGCCACGGCUAACUACGUGCCAGCAGCCGCGGUAAUACGUAGGUGGCGAGCGUUGUUCGGAUUUACUGGGUGUAAAGGGCGCGUAGGCGGACUGGCAAGUCAGAUGUGAAAUACAGGGGCUCAACCCCUGAACUGCAUUUGAAGCUGUUGGUCUUGAGUAUCGGAGAGGCAAGCGGAAUUCCUAGUGUAGCGGUGAAAUGCGUAGAUAUUAGGAAGAACACCAGUGGCGAAGGCGACUUUCUGGACGAAAACUGACGCUGAGGCGCGAAAGCCAGGGGAGCGAACGGGAUUAGAAACCCCGGUAGUCC
rnacentral:rRNA from 1 species